AACGUAGGAGACAAACGUUAUCCGGAGUUACUGGGCGUAAAGGGCGUGUAGGUGGUUUCGUAAGUCUGGCGUGAAAUUUUUCGGCUUAACCGGGAAAGGUCGUCGGAUACUGCGGAGCUAGAGGACGGUAGAGGCGUGUGGAAUUCCGGGUGUAGUGGUGAAAUGCGUAGAGAUCCGGAGGAACACCAGUGGCGAAGGCGACACGCUGGGCCGUACCUGACACUGAGGAGCGAAAGCGUGGGUAGCAAACAGG
rnacentral:rRNA from 1 species